rnacentral:rRNA from 1 species
AGUCAAUAGAUACCCGGGUAGUCCACGCCGUAAACGAUGAGUACUAGGUGUAGGAGGUAUCGACUCCUUCUGUGCCGCAGUUAAACACAAUAAGUACUCCGCCUGGGAAGUACGGUCGCAAGAUUAAAAACUCAAAGGAAUUGACGGGGGCCCGCACAAGCAGCGGAGCAUGUGGUUUAAUUCGAAGCAACGCGAAGAACCUUACCUAGACUUGACAUCUCCUGAAUAGUGUAGAGAUACAUGAAGCCCUUCGGGGUCAGGAAGACAGGUGGUGCAUGGUUGUCGUCAGCUCGUGUCGUGAGAUGUUGGGUUAAGUCCCGCAACGAGCGCAACCCUUA